AUCCAACUGACGAGUCGCAAAUAGAACGAAACGAGCGUCGUGGAU
rnacentral:hammerhead_ribozyme from 1 species